rnacentral:rRNA from 1 species
AGAGUUUGAUCCUGGCUCAGAACGAACGCUGGCGGCAGGCCUAACACAUGCAAGUCGAGCGCGCCUUCGGGUGAGCGGCGGACGGGUUAGUAACGCGUGGGAACGUGCCCUUCUCUACGGAAUAGCCUCUGGAAACGGAGAGUAAUACCGUAUACGCCCUUUGGGGGAAAGAUUUAUCGGAGAAGGAUCGGCCCGCGUUAGAUUAGGUAGUUGGUGGGGUAAUGGCCUACCAAGCCUACGAUCUAUAGCUGGUUUUAGAGGAUGAUCAGCAACACUGGGACUGAGACACGGCCCAGACUCCUACGGGAGGCAGCAGUGGGGAAUCUUAGACAAUGGGGGCAACCCUGAUCUAGCCAUGCCGCGUGAGUGAUGAAGGCCUUAGGGUCGUAAAGCUCCUUCGCCUGUGAUGAUAAUGACAGUAGCAGGUAAAGAAACCCCGGCUAACUCCGUGCCAGCAGCCGCGGUAAUACGGAGGGGGUUAGCGUUGUUCGGAAUUACUGGGCGUAAAGCGCGCGUAGGCGGAUUAGAAAGUUGGGGGUGAAAUCCCGGGGCUCAACCCCGGAACUGCCUCCAAAACUGCUAGUCUAGAGUUCGAGAGAGGUGAGUGGAAUUCCGAGUGUAGAGGUGAAAUUCGUAGAUAUUCGGAGGAACACCAGUGGCGAAGGCGGCUCACUGGCUCGAUACUGACGCUGAGGUGCGAAAGUGUGGGGAGCAAACAGGAUUAGAUACCCUGGUAGUCCACACCGUAAACGAUGAAUGCCAGUCGUCGGAUAGUAUACUAUUCGGUGACACACCUAACGGAUUAAGCAUUCCGCCUGGGGAGUACGGUCGCAAGAUUAAAACUCAAAGGAAUUGACGG